UACGAAGGGUGCAAACGUUGCUCGGAAUUAUUGGGCGUAAAGCGCACGUAGGCGGCAUUGCAAGUCGGAUGUGAAAUCCCCGGGCUCAACCUGGGAAUUGCAUUCGAUACUGGAUAGCUAGAGUUCGGCAGAGGGAAGCGGAAUUUCGGGUGUAGCGGUGAAAUGCGUAGAUAUCCGAAGGAACAUCAGUGGCGAAAGCGGCUUCCUGGACCAGAACUGACGAUCAGGCACGAAAGCGUGGGGAGCAAACAGG
rnacentral:rRNA from 1 species